UAGGGAAUCUUCCGCAAUGGGCGAAAGCCUGACGGAGCAACGCCGCGUGAGUGAAGAAGGAUUUCGGUUCGUAAAGCUCUGCUGUUAGGGAAGAAUGAUUGUAUAGUAACUAUAUACAGUAGAGACGGUACCUAACCAGAAAGCCACGGCUAACUACGUGCCAGCAGCCGCGGUAAUACGUAGGUGGCAAGCGUUGUCCGGAAUUAUUGGGCGUAAAGCGCGCGCAGGUGGUUUAAUAAGUCUGAUGUGAAAGCCCACGGCUCAACCGUGGAGGGUCAUUGGAAACUGUUAAACUUGAGUGCAGGAGAGAAAAGUGGAAUUCCUAGUGUAGCGGUGAAAUGCGUCGAGAUUAGGAGGAACACCAGUGGCGAAGGCGGCUUUUUGGCCUGUAACUGACACUGAGGCGCGAAAGCGUGGGGAGCAAACAGGAUUAGAUACCCUGGUAGUCCACGCCGUAACGAUGAGUGCUAAGUGUUGGUCUCAUAAGAGAUCAGUGCUGCAGCUAACGCAUUAAGCACUCCGCCUGGGGAGUACGACCGCAAGGUUG
rnacentral:rRNA from 1 species